UACGUAGGGUGCGAGCGUUAAUCGGAAUUACUGGGCGUAAAGCGUGCGCAGGCGGUUUUGUAAGCCAGAUGUGAAAUCCCCGGGCUUAACCUGGGAAUGGCAUUUGGGACUGCAAGGCUGGAGUGCGGCAGAGGAGACUGGAAUUCCUGGUGUAGCAGUGAAAUGCGUAGAUAUCAGGAGGAACACCGGUGGUGUAGACGGCUCACUGGACCGUAACUGACGCUGAGACACGAAAGCGUGGGUAGCAAACAGG
rnacentral:rRNA from 1 species